GCUGGGGAGGCAAGAAAGCAGGAUGCUGCGGGGAGAUGGGGCAGUUGUCGACUUCUCUCAGCAUUUUAUUUUAAAGGAUUUUAUAACUUUGAAAACGGUUGUAUGGAAGGUUUAGCAAGAGUCCUGUUGGGACGGUUUAGUGAAAAUCCUGCACCCUCGGAGUAUGAUCACCCUGGCUGCCUUCAGAAAGAAUCCUAUUAGUGUGGAGAGGAAGAACAAUGUAGAGCUGUGUGGAUAGUAGAAGUACAGUGCUGGGGCCAUCAGGAUCAACGUUAGCUGGGCAUUUGUGUGCAAUGUAAAAUCUCAGGCUCCACCUCACACCUCCAGAUUCAUAAUCUGCAUUUUAACAAGAUUCUCUGGUCAUUUAUAUGCACACUGAAUUGAAGAAACAGUCACCAAUGUAAUGUAAAAGAGUCGAUAUGACAGUAUUACAAUAAAAUUGA